GAUGAAGAACGUAGCGAAAUGCGAUAAGUAAUGUGAAUUGCAGAAUUCAGUGAAUCAUCGAAUCUUUGAACGCACAUUGCGCCCGCUAGUAUUCUGGCGGGCAUGCCUGUCCGAGCGUCAUUUCAACCCUCAAGCCCCCGGGCUUGGUGUUGGGGAUCGGCGAGCCUCCGCGCCCGCCGUCCCCUAAAGCUAGUGGCGGUCUCGCUGUAGCUUCCUCUGCGUAGUAGCACACCUCGCACUGGGAAACAGCGCGGCCACGCCGUUAAACCCCCAACUUCUGAACGUUUGACCUCGGAUCAGGUAGGAAUACCCGCUGAACUUAAGCAUAUCAAUAAGCGGAGGA
rnacentral:misc_RNA from 1 species